rnacentral:rRNA from 1 species
CACGUAGGGUGCGAGCGUUGUCCGGAAUUAUUGGGCGUAAAGAGCUCGUAGGCGGUGUGUCGCGUCGGCCGUGAAAACUUGGGGCUUAACUCUGAGCGUGCGGUCGAUACGGGCAUCACUUGAGUUCGGCAGGGGAGACUGGAAUUCCUGGUGUAGCGGUGAAAUGCGCAGUUAUCAGGAGGAACACCGGUGGCGAAGGCGGGUCUCUGGGCCGAUACUGACGCUGAGGAGCGAAAGCAUGGGGAGCGAACAGG